GACUAACGCUGGCGGCGUGCUUAACACAUGCAAGUCGAACGGAAAGGCCCUGCUUGCAGGGUGCUCGAGUGGCGAACGGGUGAGUAACACGUGGGUGAUCUGCCCCUUACUUUGGGAUAAGCCUGGGAAACUGGGUCUAAUACUGGAUAGGACCAUGCUGUAGGUGGUGUGGUGGAAAGAUUAGUUUCGGUAAGGGAUGAGCUCGCGGCCUAUCAGCUUGUUGGUGGGGUAAUGGCCUACCAAGGCGUCGACGGGUAGCCGGCCUGAGAGGGUGGACGGCCACAUUGGGACUGAGAUACGGCCCAGACGCCUACGGGAGGCAGCAGUGGGGAAUAUUGCACAAUGGGCGCAAGCCUGAUGCAGCGACGCCGCGUGGGGGAUGACGGCCUUCGGGUUGUAAACUCCUUUCAGCCAUGACGAAGCCCUUGUGGUGACGGUAGUGGUAGAAGAAGCACCGGCUAACUACGUG
rnacentral:rRNA from 1 species